rnacentral:lncRNA from 1 species
UGGGGCCCAUCCUCUACAAAUCAAUAGCAAGAGAAAGAGGAAGGAAUAGCCUUCAGUAGAGGAAAAGUCCUUCAGAGUUUCUGCAUGCUUUUCUCUCUCCUGAUGGUUUAUUAAUUAGAGGGAGGGAAUAGCAUCACCUGUUCAUAUGCUGUGCAGCCUCAAACUGCUCCCCUUGUUUGAAUGUGUUCGGAUUAUGUGG